CAGUCGCCGCGGUAAUACGUAGGGUGCGAGCGUUAAUCGGAAUUACUGGGCGUAAAGCGUGCGCAGGCGGUUAUGUAAGACAGUUGUGAAAUCCCCGGGCUCAACCUGGGAACUGCAUCUGUGACUGCAUAGCUAGAGUACGGUAGAGGGGGAUGGAAUUCCGCGUGUAGCAGUGAAAUGCGUAGAUAUGCGGAGGAACACCGAUGGCGAAGGCAAUCCCCUGGACCUGUACUGACGCUCAUGCACGAAAGCGUGGGGAGCAAACAGGAUUAGAUACCCCUGUAGUCCCUGUCUCUUAUAU
rnacentral:rRNA from 1 species